AUCUGAACCUAUUUAUAACAAGUUCGAAGUUUAUUUUCCUACUAUUAAAUCCUUUUUAGUAUUAAUUUUUUUAAAAUUUUUAUUAGCAUUUCAAUUAUAUCUAAAUUAAACUAAGUGAUAUUUGUGAAAAAUUUAAAUCUUAAUUUAUUUUUAAACAACCACACGCAAAUUAAAAUUUAGUAAAUAAAAUUGUGGAAUAUCAAUUUAUUAAUCAAAAUUCUCUAAAUAGAAUAAAUAGCUGCCAAACAAUUUAGGUUUGAGUUUAAUACCUAAAAAAAAUUCAUACCCGGCUUCUAUCCCGACUUUGUGAAUAUAUUUUCUUCUUAUAUUUUAAUAAAAUUAAUUUUUUAAUUCUUAUAACUGAAAAUAAAAAUUUUAUUUUUUUUUAUUAAAAAAUCUAGUUUUGCUUUAGAAGUA
rnacentral:rRNA from 1 species